rnacentral:lncRNA from 1 species
GGUACUAUUGUGUGUGCAAAUAAGGUGCUGAUUUUGUUUUGCUGGUGGUCAAGUCUUUAGUUACAGGCAGUCCAAAGGUGUGACUAAUGCAUCUCUUUUAUGCUCUUUGGCAGUACAGUUCCCCUUUGCAAUGCUUUUGAGAUCCUUGUAAAAAGUCAGUGGUAUACUGUUUCAGAAUCCGUACAAGUUAGAAAUUCUUCAAAAAGAAGAAGACGUAAAAGAUAUACCAAUGAGCUUUAAAGAAAAGGAGGGAUUUCCAGGGGAUUAUUUCUCUCAGCACUGUCAACAGGUGUUGUUUGGAGUGUUGUACAAGAGAAACUGAUACGCUAAGGGGGCUAUGCAUUCUCUAAAUGUGCAGCUGAGUGCUGGCUAACAGCUCUUCUUCCAUUAUGUUUCAAAAAUUACAGGACCCACGCUCUUGUUUUAGUCUAACUUUAGUCUAAGUUUUCAACUUAGACUAAAUUCAGUCAUUUUGGGGCAUCGCAUUGAUUUUCUGGGUGAUGGUUGAAUAAAUACCCCACCAGAAUAUAGUUCACAGUAAGAUAAACCAGUGCUAAUACAUAAAAAAUUGGCUGCAGACCCAUUAGCUACUGUUUCUACUGGAAGGUGUGGAAGAAAUUCUGAAGUGAUUACCAGCAAGAUAUAAUGAGCCUCUGUCUUAAGUGUCACAUGAUACUCUGAAAUCUUCUCUCUAAUUAGGGCAAAACUCAAAUAUAGCAACAGGCUUCUGUUGAUCCUCAAAUUUAUGCUCUAGAGGCUUAUUGUUUUUUUUAAGGUCUUUUAUCUGUCUGUCCUCUGUCUGUCUGUCUGGCAGGUUCUCUAACUCAUUUGUCAUGAAGAAACAACUGGGAGCGGGGUAACAAUCUAAGUGGAGUGUUGAAGAACAUUGCAGUUUACAAGCUGACUACAAAGAGCAUGGAUGUGCAUUGUUCUCUUUGUGUUAGCUGGUUGGGAGGCGGAGGCGCAGCAUGGGUGAUUUCUCUCAGGCCAUUUCACAUAUGUGGAUUCAAGCUCAUCCUUGGACCUCACAAGGAAAAACAUCGAAGCCAAAUGGAAACAUCCUCUUAAAAGGUUUUGAAAGAUCUUGGAAUGG